rnacentral:rRNA from 1 species
UACGAAGGGGGCUAGCGUUGUUCGGAAUUACUGGGCGUAAAGCGCGCGCAGGCGGUCUUCCAAGUCAGUGGUGAAAGCCCGGAGCUCAACUCCGGAACUGCCAUUGAAACUGUUAGACUUGAGGACGAGAGAGGUGAGUGGAAUUCCCAGUGUAGAGGUGAAAUUCGUAGAUAUUGGGAAGAACACCGGUGGCGAAGGCGGCAUCCUGGACCGGCAUUGACGCUGAGGCGCGAAAAGCCAGGGGAGCAAACGGG